ensembl:lncRNA
CAGUAUUUCAUGUCCGUUUAUUUUAUUUUGCAUGCUGGUUUACUGUACAUUAUCCUGCUACAAGCACAUAAUAAAAAAAUACCCAUUUAGUACUUUUGUCACUGAUAUAGUUAAAGGUGAAAAGCCAUAUGCUUCCAUUUAAAGGAUCUGCAUCAUCAGCUUAGUCAAAUUAAGAACUAAAAGUAAAAAAAGUAAUAUCAGCAGAUAGGCAGCCACUAUAUUGUGCAUCCUUUUUGGUGCACUCUGUAAAGCUUCUAUAUGUUGAAAAUACAGGAACAGGUUGAUGAAGGUGUGUACAGCCCAUUAGAAGUCAAAGUGGAAACAAAGGAAGGGCCACUUCUCUGCCGGACAUUUAAGAUGAACAAUUUCAGAGCCUGUUUACCUUCACUGCAGUAUAAAAAGGUACAUUUUACUGUCCAUUAUUUGACCAAACCAAAGCAGUUCACCCCUCUGAUCAAAUAUUAACAUGUGUUUUAAAGUGUAACUUUCACCUUUUAUCAAUAUAGUUGUAUUUUUAACCAUACAUACAAGAUUAUCAUAAGACUUCUCUGAUGGUCAAGUUGCAUAACUAUCAUGAUAAGUGUUAGUGAACAGUCUCUUCUUCAUUGGAAGGUUUAUCUCAUCUCAUUCUUCAUCUAGGUUGUGUGUUUAGAGGCUCAACAGAACAGCUUGCCUCAAAACUACAUACAGAAGCUUCUGGCACUGAAGACAAACAACUACAAUAAACAACUACAAUAACUACACUUCCAUAUUGGAUCAGAUUACAGACAUACAGAAAUGACCUGCAUGAGAUGACCUUUUUUUUCAAAGCUUAUCAUGUCUCCCAAUCAUAAAUAAAGUCCCGGGGUCUCAUUUAUAAACGUUGCGCAUGCACAAAAUGGGCAUAGAAGCAUGUGUACGCAAUUUUCCAUGCACAUAUCAUGAUUUAUAAAAAAUAAACUUGGCGGAAAUAUGUACGCACCGUACAGACAUUCUAGACCAUGCGUACGCACUCUUUUUCCUGGAGUGAGAAAAGUAAUUAAGUAGGCUAAACAGCGAUUUUAAACUGUUUACAUGAUGAUAUACACAUUUACAUUGAAUACUC